rnacentral:SRP_RNA from 1 species
GUCACGUGGCCUGGGGGUCACGUGAUCUCGAGGGGUGGGAUGGCGGAAAAAAUUUCCCCCGCUAGGUUUAGCGGGGAAAAUUUUCCGCUAGAUUUAGCGGAGAAAAUUUUCCGCUAGAUUUAGCGGGGAAACGUUUCCGCUAAAUUUAGCGGGGAAAAUUUUCCGCAAGAUUUAGCGGGGAAAAUUUUCCGCUAGAUUUAGCGGGAAAAAUUUUCCGCUAGAUUUAGCGGGGAAACUUUUCUGCUA